GGUGGGGUGGCAGAGUGGUCUAAUGCGGCGGUCUUGAAAACCGUUGUGGGCGUAAGUCCACCCAGAGUUCGAAUCUCUGCCCCACCGCCA
rnacentral:tRNA from 1 species